rnacentral:rRNA from 1 species
GACGAACGCUGGCGGCGUGCCUAAUACAUGCAAGUAGAACGCACAGUUUCUACCUUAGCUUGCUACACCAUAGACGGUGAGUUGCGAACGGGUUAGUAACGCUUCGGUAACCUUCCUGGUAACUUGGGGUAACUGUUGGAAACGAUAGCUAAUACCUCAUACUAUUAAUUAUUGCAUGAUAAUUAAUUGAAAGUGGCAAUUGCACCACGACCAAAUGGACUUUCGUUGGAUUAGCUGGUAGGUGAGGUAACGGCGCACCUAGGCGACGAUACAUAGCCGAAAGGAGUGGGUGGUCGGCCAGACUGGGACUGAGACACGGCACAGCGGCAUACGGGAGGGGGCAGUAGUGCUACUUCGGCAAGGGAUGGAAGUUUGAGCGAGAAACGCCGAGUCAGUGAAGAAGGUUGCCGGAUCGUAAAGCUCUGUUGUAAGGGAAGAAAGGGUGUGAGAGUGGAAAGUUCACACUGUGACGGUAUCUUACAAGAAAGGGACGGCUAACUACGUG